GAUUAUUUAGUUUAAAUAAAAACAAAUGUUUUGAAAACAUUAAAUAAGAUUAUAUUCUUAAUAAUUG
rnacentral:tRNA from 1 species